rnacentral:tRNA from 1 species
AGAAAUAUAGUUAAUUUAUAACAUUUAUUUUGCUAAUAAAAGUAUAUUAUUUUUA